rnacentral:lncRNA from 1 species
CUCCUCCAUGACCCUGGCUCCUGCUGGACAUCGGGACUCACGCUCCUCCCACACCACUGCUGCAAGAAGAAACAAAUUGGAAAAACAGAAGACACAGUGUUUGCCCAAUCAAAAGGGAGCUCUCUAGGAUGAAGACAAACACUUGGAAUGAAAGAACAAUGAGAAAACUUUGUUCCUGGGCUUAGAAACUGCCAUAAAAGAAGUACAGUCACUUCUCACCUACCACCUGGAAUCACUUUAUUAGUGCCUAAGAAUUUGGAAAAAUCUGAACUUGUGUUGCACUGGUAAUCUCUAAGAUAUGCUUUACUAUUUACCUAAAUACUUGAUUCUUUUUUCUUGGAUAUUGUUCAUAAGUCUUCCUUAGAUUAUAUGUUCUUUCAGUCCAAGAAUGAUUUUAUUGCUUUUUUUUUCUAUACCCUCCCAUUUCUCCAGAGUGUUGCUGAGCAUAUGAAAUAAGUUUUAAAGAUUAUUUACUUUCAGUGGAUCAUAGAAAGGUG